GAAGACGAUGAUGAGACGCUGCCGCACUCAGAGGUGGUGGACGUGUUCCAAGAGGGUCUGGCCAUGGUGGUACAGGACCCACUGCUCUGCGAUCUCCCAAUCCAGGUAACUUUGGAAGAGGUCAAUUCCCAGAUAGCACUGGAGUAUGGCCAGGCCAUGACAGUCCGAGUGUGCAAGAUGGACGGGGAGGUCAUGCCUGUGGUGGUUGUACAGAAUGCUACGGUCCUGGACCUAAAAGAAGGCCAUCCAGAGAUAUGUGCAGCUGCGGCAGGAGCGAGAAGGGGGCAUUCAGCACAUCAGCUGGUCCUAUGUGUGGAGGAAAUACUAUUUGACCUUCACAGGAGAGAAGCUCACAGACGACAAGAAGAAGCUCCGAGACUAUGGCAUCCGGAAUCGGGACGAGGUCUCCUUUAUCAAAAAGCUGCGGCAAAAGUGA